CCCAAGGCUUACGCCAUUGGGCUAAAUUGAGUCAUGCUUUCAGCAUU
rfam:Lentisphaera araneosa HTCC2155 1101329224549, whole genome shotgun sequence.